GAUGAACGCUGGCGGCGUGCCUAAUACAUGCAAGUCGAGCGAACAGACGAGGAGCUUGCUCCUCUGACGUUAGCGGCGGACGGGUGAGUAACACGUGGAUAACCUACCUAUAAGACUGGGAUAACUUCGGGAAACCGGAGCUAAUACCGGAUAAUAUAUUGAACCGCAUGGUUCAAUAGUGAAAGACGGUUUUGCUGUCACUUAUAGAUGGAUCCGCGCCGCAUUAGCUAGUUGGUAAGGUAACGGCUUACCAAGGCGACGAUGCGUAGCCGACCUGAGAGGGUGGUCGGCCACACUGGAACUGAGACACGGUCCAGACUCCUACGGGAGGCAGCAGUAGGGAAUCUUCCGCAAUGGGCGAAAGCCUGACGGAGCAACGCCGCUUGAGUGAUGAAGGUCUUCGGAUCGUAAAACUCUGUUAGUAGGGAAGAACAAAUGUGUAAGUAACUAUGCACGUCGUGACGGUACCUAAUCAGAAAGCCACGGCUAACUACGUG
rnacentral:rRNA from 1 species